rnacentral:rRNA from 1 species
GGGGUACUCGAGCGGCGAACGGGUGAGUAACACGUGAGUAAUCUGCCCUGCGCUCUGGGAUAGCCACCGGAAACGGUGAUUAAUACCGGAUAGGACCACUUCACGCAUGUGAUGGUGGUGGAAAGUUUUUUCGGCGCAGGAUGUGCUCGCGGCCUAUCAGCUUGUUGGUGAGGUAACGGCUCACCAAGGCUUUGACGGGUAACCGGCCUGAGAGGGUGACCGGUCACACUGGGACUGAGACACGGCCCAGACUACUACGGGAGGCAGCAGUGGGGAAUAUUGGACAAUGGGCGGAAGCCUGAUCCAGCAACGCCGCGUGAGGGAUGACGGCCUUCGGGUUGUAAACCUCUUUCAGUACCGACGAAGCGCAAGUGACGGUAGGUACAGAAGAAGGACCGGCCAACUACGUGCCAGCAGCCGCGGUAAUACGUAGGGUCCGAGCGUUGUCCGGAAUUAUUGGGCGUAAAGGGCUCGUAGGCGGUUUGUCGCGUCGGGAGUGAAAACACCGGGCUUAACUCGGUGCUUGCUUUCGAUACGGGCAGACUAGAGGUAUGCAGGGGAGAAUGGAAUUCCUGGUGUAGCGGUGAAAUG